rnacentral:misc_RNA from 1 species
AAAAGUCCUCAAGACCUCAAAACACCGUGAACGUACCUCUAUUUCUCUGCUCCGGCGGGUCGCCCCAGGGGGGGCGCCUGCCGCAAGGCACCCGCCGGAGCCCACGCUUAAGUCUCUCCGAGUCUUCUGAGUGCAAAGCUAAAAGCUUA